AUUGAACGCUGGCGGCAGGCCUAACACAUGCAAGUCGAGCGGAUGACGGGAGCUUGCUCCUUGAUUCAGCGGCGGACGGGUGAGUAAUGCCUAGGAAUCUGCCUGGUAGUGGGGGACAACGUUUCGAAAGGAACGCUAAUACCGCAUACGUCCUACGGGAGAAAGCAGGGGACCUUCGGGCCUUGCGCUAACAGAUGAGCCUAGGUCGGAUUAGCUAGUUGGUGGGGUAAUGGCUCACCAAGGCGACGAUCAGUAGCUGGUCUGAGAGGACGAUCAGCCACACUGGGACUGAGACACGGCCCAGACUCCUACGGGAGGCAGCAGUGGGGAAUUUUGGACAAUGGGCGAAAGCCUGAUCCAGCAAUGCCGCGUGUGUGAAGAAGGCCUUCGGGUUGUAAAGCACUUUAAGCGAGGAGGAGGCUCUUUUGGUUAAUACCCAAGAUGAGUGGACGUUACUCGCAGAAUAAGCACCGGCUAACUCUGUGCCAGCAGCCGCAGUAAUAC
rnacentral:rRNA from 1 species